CCAGACAGUGUGUUGUCAAACACCAGGUGUUGUAUAAUAACAUGAGAACCAGACAGUGUGUUGUCAAACACCAGGUGUUUUAUAAUAACCAGACAGUGUGUUGUCAAACACCAGGUGUUGUAUAAUAACAUGAGAACCAGACAGUGUGUUGUCAAACGCCAGGUGUUGUAUAAUAACAUGAGAAUGUCUCAAGUCACAUGACAUGACAGUCACACACAGGGCAUGCAACACGUGACCUUAGAAUGACCUCCGUCCCCAUCACGCCCUCCCCGCCUGUUCAUUUCCUCAUAUGUCCAUCAUUUUCUCUUUCUGUUGUUGUUUGUAUUUCCAUAUUGCAUAGUUUAAAUAUUUCUGUUUUGGUUCCAUUUCUCCUGUUGUUUUUCUUCCUCUUCUUUAGCCAGAUGCACCCUGGGAAAACCAUUCCCCCAUUCCCAGGGGAUUUGAUUUAGCAGGCAGCUUAAUACUUCUACUAAUUCCGGGUGAUAGAGACUACUGCCGGGCGUGCUAUUGGUUACAGAGAGACGGGUGAAGAGUCACCCACAUUGUAACCACGCCCUAAAUUAGGAAAAGGGGGCGGGGUUAUAAAACUAGAGCACCAAUAGAACACAAUUAUCUGACUGGAAGACUGCUACCACCUUUAUACACACAAAAAGUGAGUCUGAAAUGGCCCCGUGUCCUCUAUAGUACACUACAUUAGACCAGAGGUCUAUGAGGACAGGGGAACACUGAUAUAUACAGGUAUAGUACACCAACAGAACACCCUGGGCCCUCUGUAGUGCACUACUUUAGACCAGAGGUCUAUGAAGACAGGGGAACACUGAUAUAUACAGGUACAGUACACCAACAGAACACAUACAUCAGUAAAUAUACACAGUAUAAUAUAGAUGACGUCAAACCCACCCUGACCCUCAGUAGUUAGGUAAAGUGUUACCAACCGUCAAGUAGUUCAUUGGUAACUAAGGGCUCAUAAUAUUAUGGGGGGGUUAGCUAGCUCUAAAGGCAUGCGUUGUGAAGCUGGUUUCACGGAUUAGAAAAAACCACACACACCGGACUAGCGAACAGCGCUAACCUCACACACACACACACACACACGCACGCACACGCACACACACACACACACACAC
rnacentral:lncRNA from 1 species